rnacentral:rRNA from 1 species
AUACGUAGGGGGCGAGCGUUGUCCGGAAUGAUUGGGCGUAAAGGGCGCGUAGGCGGCCCGGUAAGUCUGGAGUGAAAGUCCUGUUUUUAAGAUGGGAAUUGCUUUGGAUACUGUCGGGCUUGAGUGCAGGAGAGGUAAGUGGAUUUCCCAGUGUAGCGGUGAAAUGCGUAGAGAUUGGGAGGAACACCAGUGGCGAAGGCGACUUACUGGACUGUAACUGACGCUGAGGCGCGAAAGUGUGGGGAGCAAACAGGAUUAGAUACCCUGGUAGUCCACACUGUAAACGAUGAAUGCUAGGUGUAGGGGGUAUCGACCCCUUCUGUGCCGCAGUCAACACAAUAAGCAUUCCGCCUGGGGAGUACGGCCGCAAGGUUGAAACUCAAAUGAAUUGACGGGG